GAGCGUCCGAGUCAGCUUGACGGUGCCGGUCGCGUCAGUAUGCCGCGCAGCGCGCAGGCUCGCGUACGCGUAUUGUUUCUAUCUGUUUUCGGUUCCCUUCGUUUCUUUCGUUUGCCCUCUUCCUCGCUCUUUCGGUGUCUCCUACGCACGGCAGCGCGGCUGGAAUACGCAAAUACAAAUAUCUUCGCUGUUUACGCGUUGCGCGUUGUCGUUCCGUCCACAUUUUUUCUCCCUCCUCGUAAGGAAAACUCGCAAAUACGAGGAAAAUUCAAGUGUCGUUGCGUCGUUUCCAGUGCACGCGCGAGCGUACCAAGAGUGCCGGUAGGCUCGAAUUCGAUCGGAGAACCUGUUAUCGGGCGCGUGUGCGCGUGAGCUCGUGACACAGUGACACGGUGCGUGUGGUUCUGUACGUGAGCGAACCUUGCGCCUCGCGGAAAGAGCGGGAAACUCGAUGCUCCUCGGGAUUUCGAAAUGCUUUGACGUAUGCAGGGUGCGGUGAAAGAUCUUGUCCAUGAAACAAAUUUCAAGCAACGAACUAGAGACCCAUUUUAAUAAAACAUUUGGCAAUUCGAGUUAUGCGAUCACAUGACGUUCCACCUCGAAGACACAAACUCCGAAUAUUCCAAACUCCAAAUUGUCCAACAUAAUAUAUACUGCAAAUUAAUCGAUAUAGAAAAAGUAUAUUUGAGUAAAAUUUUGGCGAAUCCCGAUGCGGAUGGAACAAAGACGCGGCACGAAAUGAAGCGAGCGUAUACUUGAGCGAUCGAUAUAACACCACCACGGUAAAUAUCAAGAGGUUCGUAUUUCCAGCGCGCACGAACCUAACCUAGACUGCACCUCGAGCUUCGUGCCUUGGUAAACACGAUCAAUGUCGUCCGUCGUUUCGACUGGUUCGACGAGGAUGCCGUGAAAGUAACGUUACCGCUGCUCGACAGAACCAAAGGACAUCGAACGCAUGAACAGCCUCAAGUCGUUCAUAUCCUUGCGCGGCAUUUUGAUGGUUCGACUAAACGCGAUGACAGGUGGUGGACUCGAUUGUUGAUCGACCGAACCGCGGGCGAUUUGUUCGAUCGACGAUCGAAAACUUGAUAUAUUCAAGGGAGGCCGAUCAACCCCGGAAGAAUUGCGACUGCGACGUACGACGGGACGGAAAAUUGCGGGAGUCGGAUAGAGCAGCGCAGGAGAGAGAAUCCGAGGCGCUUUUAUUUUUAGCCAACGUCGCUUCGCGCAUCGCAAAAACCGGUUUCCGAGUCUCGGGGCCCGAGCCACGAGUCUGUCCCACUUUCUAGAAUCGCCCUGUACACGCCAGAAGGAUUUUAGGUGAAAAGUGAGGAAACGAGAGGGAGAGACACGCGAUAUAAAGGUGGAGUAUGGUCUUCGGUCAUUCUCCGUCCUUCGUUCGGGAAAGAAGGAAACAAAGAGUGAGACUCGAGGAACGUGGAAUUCGCCUAAGCCCGAUGUACACCUCUCCUCUUCUCUUCUACAUUCUCUCCCACCUCGAACUAUCGAUUGCAUGCAUGCACGCGCCUAUCCAUACACGAAGCGGUACGUGACAUCGUGGAGUGCGUGAGAUUCGAUCAUCGAGCGGUUCGACGACGCGAUGUGCCCGUCGCUCGACGUAAUUAGUCGACCUUGAUACACGUAAAGAUACCGAUAGAUGAUCGUAGCCGCAGUUUCCCAACGAAUUCGAUCCAUGAAGCGGCUACGCAGAGACAUUGGGAGAGUGAUUAGGUGAAUUAACGAAAGAGGACCGAACCAAAUGAAGUGAGAAGAGUUAAAGAAGUUUAAGAAGAGGUCGAAUAAACGAUUGGUUGCGUGGCACACGAGAUCGACGAGACACGAGAACGGCAUGAAGAAUGGCAACCGAUUCGAGCAACCGUCAAGACGUAAGGGCGGUCGCCACGACGACUACCGAUCCGCAGCGAAGCGAAAAGCGCGCCGUCGCGGCGCGAAGCGCCGCCGGUGCUCUGGCCCUCAGUGUUCUGGCCGUAGUCCUCCAAUCGGCGGCUACGGCGACCCCCACCUGGGGCUACUUCACCAAUCCUGACGAUCGUUCAGAUUCGUGACUUUCCAACGUGAUCAAUCCACGAUCAAAUCGAGAAUGGGCAAAGACGAUCAGACAUUUUGGUCUAGCAUUGAUCCACGUGUUUCCGCGACUCGUGCAGCUCGUGUUCGACGAUUUUCUCACGAACGAUGGCGAGCACUGCUCACAAACCUGUGGGACAUCGUAUCCAUCGUUCCGCCAUGGUCCCCUCGGCUUCCAUUAAGUCACGAGGGUUAUUACCGACGGAGCAACCAUCUGUAAUUGGUACGAAAGUCGAGCGUGCGAGCGAAUUGCGCACCGUAUACGUAUAUCUGCGAACCGUGGCUGUCGCGACGUUCUCCUUUUCUCUAGACGCGGUGCACUCCCGUUUCCGUUUUCAUUCACCCGGAUGUUGAACUCCCAAGGAACCUUCUCGUCGCGAGUAAAUGUCUCUGUUCAGACUCCGAAAGAUUUUUAUUCGAGCAAUAGAUGACUAAUAAAACACUAGACAUUUAUUUGCAAUGUCGAAUAUUUCUAAACAAAUACUACUCAAAUACUCAAAAACAAUUUAAAAUUUAUCGAUAUUAUGCAAGUGAUCGAAUACUUAAAAUAUACUCGGAG